rnacentral:miRNA from 1 species
CUCGGGUCGGGAGCUUGAGCGGGGCUGGACCCCAGCCUCGUCACACAUGUGCUCUGCUCCUAGGAAUCGUGGACUAC